GGGGUUAUCGUCUACCCGGACAGGACGCCGGUCUCUCAAACCGGAGAAGAGGGUUCGAAUCCCUCUAACCCUA
rnacentral:tRNA from 1 species